UACGUAGGGGGCGAGCGUUGUCCGGAAUCAUUGGGCGUAAAGAGCUCGUAGGCGGUUUGUCGCGUCUGCCGUGAAAGUCCGGGGCUCAACCCCGGAUCUGCGGUGGGUACGGGCAGACUAGAGUGAUGUAGGGGAGACUGGAAUUCCUGGUGUAGCGGUGAAAUGCGCAGAUAUCAGGAGGAACACCGGUGGCGAAGGCGGGUCUCUGGGCCGAUACUGACGCUGAGGAGCGAAAGCGUGGGGAGCGAACAGG
rnacentral:rRNA from 1 species